rnacentral:rRNA from 1 species
AGAGUUUGAUCAUGGCUCAGGAUGAACGCUGGCGGCGUGCCUAACACAUGCAAGUCGAACGGAAAUAAUUAAAGCUUGCUUUAGUUAUUUUAGUGGCGGACGGGUGAGUAACGCGUAGGUAACUUACCUUUUACAGGGGGACAACAGUUGGAAACGGCUGCUAAUACCGCAUAAAAUUGUUUUGGGGCAUCUUGAAAUGAUCAAAAGGAGAAAUCCGGUAGAAGAUAGACCUGCGUCUGAUUAGCUAGUUGGUAGGGUAAUGGCUUACCAAGGCGACGAUCAGUAGCCGAACUGAGAGGUUGAUCGGCCACAUUGGGACUGAGACACGGCCCAAACUCCUACGGGAGGCAGCAGUGGGGAAUAUUGCUCAAUGGAGGGAACUCUGAAGCAGCAACGCCGCGUGAAGGAAGAAGGCUUUCGGGUUGUAAACUUCUUUGAAUGGGGACGAAGGAAGUGACGGUACCCAUAAAACAAGCCACGGCUAACUACGUGCCAGCAGCCGCGGUAAUACGUAGGUGGCGAGCGUUAUCCGGAAUUACUGGGUGUAAAGGGCGUGUAGGCGGGAGAGCAAGUCAGAUGUGAAAUGCCAAGGCUUAACCAUGGAACUGCAUCUGAAACUGUUUUUCUUGAGUGCUGGAGAGGAAAGUGGAAUUCCUAGUGUAGCGGUGAAAUGCGUAGAGAUUAGGAGGAACACCAGUGGCGAAGGCGGCUUUCUGGACAGUAACUGACGCUGAGGCGCGAAAGCGUGGGGAGCAAACAGGAUUAGAUACCCUAGUAGUCC